GAAAACUCAACCUGGGGGUGAGGAAAUGGAGGAGGAGUUUAUGGAGGUAGAUGAUAAUGGAGAUUACAGUGAUGUGAAGUUUACGAAAUCGUUUUCUGUACCUGGGUUUUUGAGGAAAGUGUUCACAGAGGAGCUGAAAGAUGACGAUGGUGGACGGGAGCAUAAGCUGUUGGUGGUUGCUGUUCAUGCUGUUUUUGUAGAAUCUGGGUUUGUUCUUCUUGAUCCUA
rnacentral:misc_RNA from 1 species